UAGGGAAUCUUCGGCAAUGGACGGAAAGUCUGACCGAGCAACGCCGCGUGAGUGAAGAAGGUUUUCGGAUCGUAAAACUCUGUUGGUAGAGAAGAACGUUGGUGAGAGUGGAAAGCUCAUCAAGUGACGGUAACUACCCAGAAAGGGCGGCUAACUACGUGCCAC
rnacentral:rRNA from 1 species